UGUCCGUGGCGGGCACUGUCCGUGGGGUUCCAGUGCUGCUCCCUGUGCUCUGGGAUGGCCCUGCCUGAGCAGGGAGCUGGGACCAGAUGCCCCCUGUGGUCCCUUCCAACCUGAGCCCUUCUGUUACACCCGCAGCCGCCGGGGCUGGGAAGGGGACAACCAGCAAGUGCAGAAAAUGUGGGGAAAAGGGUAUGAAAACAGUCCCAGUGCCCUCAGCACCCCAACCCAGCAGCAUUAGUAAGGAACUCAACACUCAUAAUCUGAGAAAUUGUCAGAGACUAUGCCAUAUUUUCUUUAAAGUUCACAAGUCCCCAUCUCACCUCUGCCUUCAAAAUGCCUGCAGAAUGCCAAUUAAAAUGAACAGUACUAAAGAGAUUGGAACACAGCUGUGCUUAGCACUUGUUUACCAACUCAAAUCCAGCUGGGGAAAUGCAGUCAGUGCUCCCAAAGAAUGAGAGGUGAAUUGCACUGAAGAUUUCUGACAUCCUUUUGAAGGCUUCCUGCAGGAAAGAUGAAAUUUCAAACCUGUAUAUUACCUGAACCUUGAUCUCAUCCUGUCUGCUAUUGAAAUAUAUGACCCAAAAGUGCUUCCCUAUGAAUUAGGCACUCAUCAUGCAUUUUAACCUUCUUGGAGAAAAUUAUGCAGGUCUCUGAGUUGCCUGCAUGGGUUAUCUUUUAUUCAUUAGAAUCCUAAAUGUUAUUGACAUGCAUUCUUAAUUAUUCCCUGCUGGAAACAGUAGUGUUCCUGAACAAGUAUU